rnacentral:snoRNA from 1 species
AUGAAGAAAUAAGACGAUGACGAGUCGAGUGAAAUUUAAGUUCCAGAGAUGUGAAAAAAACACAGGUGAAGAUCGACACAAUCAAGAAGAAGAUGAGUAGUAGAAAAGACCUUUCAUAUUUCCCUUGAUGAUGCUGACAU